CUUGAGAGGAAUACUCUUAUAUUUCUCUCUUUAGCUUUUGCCAAAUGUGGGUCACCUAUUCCCGCAUCUACUCUUUUAAGGAAGCUUGUGGAAACAGAGCAGUAUCCACCUGUGAGUGCUUGGUCUGCAAUCCUGGCUUAUAUGUCACAAACCUCUACUGGAGCCUACCUUGCUGUUGAAUUGGUCCUUGAAAUAGGUUACUUAUUCCAGGAUGGAAGAGUUGAUCCUCGUAAAAAGAGCAACGAAUCUCUGCUUUCCAUGAAGCCUAAUGCUACUUGUUUCAACAUUGCUUUUGCUGGAUGUCUUCUGUUUGGAACCACUAGAAAAGCAGAGCAGCUUCUUGACAUGAUGCCUCGAAUCAACUUGAAAGCUGAUGCUACUCUACUUAUCAUAAUGGCUCAUAUUUAUGAGAAAAAUGGUCGAAGGGAGGAGCUCAAGAAGCUUAAGAGAGACAUGGAUGAGGCCCCUAAUGUGACGGAGAUGCAGUUUCGUCAGUUCUAUAAUUGUUUGCUUUCAUGCUUUCUGAAAUUUGGAGAUCUUGAAUCUACAUCCCACAUGGUUCUAGAAAUGCUUCGCAAGGCAAACAAAGCUAAAAAUUCUCUUGGUGUAGCUAGUUUGCUGCUAGAGACUUCUAGAAGUGGCAAUACAUUGCGUUCAAAUGUUCUCCCCGAGGAUGCACAUCAUCGAAAGUCAGAUGGAUCAGAAAAUUUGGUAUCAUACGAAGAUCUCUGUAGGGACCGAAAACUUUCAAAAUUGCAGACCAUUGCUAAAAACUUGCUUGAUGUUUUGGUAACUAAGUUGCAGAAGCAAAUUGAAUUUAUNUUGCAAGCUGUUGCAUAGGAACGGAGAUUUACCAUGUGCGCAUCCAAAGAUAGCGGCUGCGGGUUCCUCUUGUCAUUAAAUUUUUCUUUUUUUAACAAAAGGAAAAUAACUUGAUAACAAAUAUCUAAUAUAGUUUCUUUUGUGAACCAACAUUCAGCAUGAAAUAAAAAGCUAGGAAUGCUACUUGGAGAAAAUGAUCACUCUCCGGAAGUUGAACUUUGGGAUAACAGCUUCUCCUUAUUCAUUGCUUCGGUUGUUUGCUGUCAAUGGUGAUUAUAGAGUUUUCAGACACGCAGUUCAGCCUGUUUGGAGUAGCAAGAAUGUUGAUCAUUCGGUUGGCUUCUUUUGGGGCAACAGAGAGAUUCAGAGUGGAGUCGACUGGGCUGCGUUUGCUCAGACUGCUCCAUUUUCUACAGUUGCUGGGACAAUCCUCGUCCAGGCUCAAGACCUUGGUAAAAUGUCGGAGGAGUUAGAAAAUGUUAUUGAUGAAGAUAAACUUGACGAUGCAUGGUCUUUGUAUGAGCGAUACAUUCAAAUGGAAGGGUUUCCUAGAAAAUCAAUUGUUAAUAAACUUGUAGCAGCCUGUGCUGAAAGCUCAGAUCUUGGACAGAUGGAGAGAGCUUAUGGCUUGGUUGAACAAGCAUUUGAGGAGAACAAGCAUAGGUUGCUUGAGAGGAAUACUCUUAUAUUUCUCUCUUUAGCUUUUGCCAAAUGUGGGUCACCUAUUCCCGCAUCUACUCUUUUAAGGAAGCUUGUGGAAACAGAGCAGUAUCCACCUGUGAGUGCUUGGUCUGCAAUCCUGGCUUAUAUGUCACAAACCUCUACUGGAGCCUACCUUGCUGUUGAAUUGGUCCUUGAAAUAGGUUACUUAUUCCAGGAUGGAAGAGUUGAUCCUCGUAAAAAGAGC
rnacentral:lncRNA from 1 species